rnacentral:lncRNA from 1 species
AGGAUCUAUUAGCAUAAGGAGCGCCAGUUUAGCAAAACACGAAUACAUAUAUUUCCAGGAUUUCAUGUCAAAUAAGUAUUUGAUCUCAUUUCUAGCCUAGUAUAUACAAGAAUAUCUAGCCAUCACGAGCAGAAUUCCUAGCAUUGUACAUAGACAUCCUUUUAAACAUUUUCCCCUCCCAUGUUGGGCGUUUGACUGCUGAUGAGGGAUCACCUUCAAGCUCAAUGGGAGGUACAAAUCAGAAAAGACCACACCACCACUCAUAUCAAAACUUCUCUUCCUAUUACCAAAAGCUGCUGGUUAAACACUAAGCCUGAAGAUUAGAGCCUUUGAAAGAGGGAGAGCACACAAAUGACCACAACACAAUGCAGCAAGUCACCCUGAAUGAAGGGAUCAAGGUUAUCAGUGUCAUUACCAACUAUAAGGAAGUCCUUUUUUUAUAUUACACAUUCUGGUGCUUUUCAACAGUUGUACCGUGCACUAAAAUCUACUUCAACAGGUGAAUUCACCUUCUUGGCAAUCUUUAGUUAGUCCAAAGGCAAUUCUGCAUGGAAAAAUAAACAGGCAUAUUAUGCAAUAUGUGACGUAACAGGUACCACACUGCUUCGCUCUUGGUUAAGAACAUCAAGAAGAAUACGAAAUACCAUGUCAAAUAAACCUUUGUAAGGUGUUGCUCACCGAUCAAAAAGGGGGCAGACUAACAGAAUACGCCACUGAAAAAGGAUACAUAGGCACUUUUUAUUAAUGCUUCAAUUGCCUUGCUUGUAAUGAAUAGCACAUUUCCCCAGAGUACCAAUGCCCCAUUUCGUUACGCUUCAAACUAAUGCCCCAUUUCAUUACGCUUCAAACUAAUGUCCCAUGCAGAAUAACUCUUGGGAUUUCACAAACAGAAGCGCCCACAUAAACCCUUCAAUUACUCGACAAACAUUUGCUGAAUAAACUAGAGACUCAUAAACCAAUCCAAAAAAGAUUGUCCCAAAAAAAAAAACUAAACUUACCAUUCAAACACUACACACGCACAGCCCAGACAUAAAAAAGUUCAAAAGACUUGGUUACAAAAUUAGAGCCUUAUAACAACUGCAAAGUCAUUUAGAUUGCACGCAAAAAGAUAAUUUCUCUAUAUCUGAGUGCUUCCAAAGGAAGAGAAACAUGCAUUGAGCAUCAAAUGGUAUAUGUUGUAAAUAGUAAUAACUAUAAUACCAGUAAGGUUGCAUAUACAGAUGUUCAUUUUGGAUACAAGUUCAAAGGUGAAGAAUGGUGAGAGACUGAACUUCAGAAGCGAAACAUACACUAUCCAUCAAAUGGUAUAUGUUGCAUACAUAUAGAAAUAAGCGUUAACAUCACUAAGAUCAGACAUGUAGAUAUUCACUAUGGAUACCUGUUCAAAGGUGAAAAUUCAGCAUGGUACAGAAACUGAAAAUGAAGCUGCUUUAUCAAAUCCAACCAUUCAAUAUUCACAUGCCAAAGUAAUUUCCAAACAUUGUCUUGUUUAAACUUCCUAGAUGCCUAAAAUAGAAAAGUCCAGAAACUGAACAAGAAGCUGCUUUUCUUAAUCUGAUAUGUGCAUUUUGUUGGACUCCAUUCAGAGACAUCCAACAAACUAAGUGCAUCCUUUGUUGGAGACAACAGUUCAAUGUCACAUGCUGAAGUAUUCAGCUAACUGUGUCUUGUUUAGCCUUUCUACAACUGGAGAACAUUACCAUCCGAUUCCAUCUUUUUUCCCCUAUCACACCUCUAAAGAUAAGUACAGAA